rnacentral:rRNA from 1 species
AUUGAACGCUGGCGGCAUGCCUUACACAUGCAAGUCGAACGGCAGCAUGGAAGAGCUUGCUCUUCUGAUGGCGAGUGGCGAACGGGUGAGUAAAGCAUCGGAACGUACCGUGUAGUGGGGGAUAACGUAGCGAAAGUUACGCUAAUACCGCAUACGCCCUGAGGUGGAAAGCAGGGGAUCGCAAGACCUUGCGCUAUACGAGCGGCCGAUGUCAGUUUAGCUAGUUGGUAGGGUAAAGGCCUACCAAGGCGACGAUCUGUAGAGGGUCUGAGAGGAUGAUCCGCCACACUGGGACUGAGACACGGCCCAGACUCCUACGGGAGGCAGCAGUGGGGAAUUUUGGACAGCGGGCGAAAGCCUGAUCCAGCCAUGCCGCGUGAGUGAAGAAGGCCUUCGGGUUGUAAAGCUCUUUCGGCUGGGAAGAAAUCGCACAGGCUAAUACUCUGUGUGGAUGACGGUACCAGCACAAGAAGCACCGGCUAACUACGUGCCAGCAGCCGCAGUAA